rnacentral:rRNA from 1 species
UACGAAGGGGGCUAGCGUUGUUCGGAAUCACUGGGCGUAAAGGGCGCGUAGGCGGCUUUAUAAGUCGGGGGUGAAAGCCUGUGGCUCAACCACAGAAUUGCCCUCGAUACUGUAGAGCUUGAGACCGGAAGAGGUAAGUGGAACUGCGAGUGUAGAGGUGAAAUUCGUAGAUAUUCGCAAGAACACCAGUGGCGAAGGCGGCUUACUGGUCCGGUUCUGGACGCUGAGGGCGCGAAAAGCGUGGGGGAGCAAACAGGGAU